rnacentral:rRNA from 1 species
UGGGGAAUAUUGCACAAUGGGCGCAAGCCUGAUGCAGCCAUGCCGCGUGUAUGAAGAAGGCCUUCGGGUUGUAAAGUACUUUCAGCGGGGAGGAAGGGAGUAAAGUUAAUACCUUUGCUCAUUGACGUUACCCGCAGAAGAAGCACCGGCUAACUCCGUGCCAGCAGCCGCGGUAAUACGGAGGGUGCAAGCGUUAAUCGGAAUUACUGGGCGUAAAGCGCACGCAGGCGGUUUGUUAAGUCAGAUGUGAAAUCCCCGGGCUUAACCCGGGAAUUGCAUCUGAUACUGGUCAGCUAGAGUCUUGUAGAGGGGGGUAGAAUUCCAUGUGUAGCGGUGAAAUGCGUAGAGAUGUGGGGGAAUACCGGUGGCGAAGGCGGCCCCCUGGACAAAGACUGACGCUCAGGUGCGAAAGCGUGGGGAGCAAACAGG